GUAGCUGGAGGACCCUCUGGCGGGCCGCGCCAUCCUCUACCACAUGGUGGCGCUGUACGACUACACAGGCAAGGGUCCUGAGGACCUGGAGUUCAGCGAGGGAGAGACCAUAGACAUCCUUGGAGAAGUUAAUGAGGAGUGGUUGGAGGGACACUGUGCUGGAAACAUCGGCAUCUUCCCGCGCUGUUUCGUCUACAGUGAAAGCGCCGUGACAGAGAAGUCCAUCCUCUGAAAAACAGGCUAAGACCACACUGCAACCACGCCAUAUCCAGCCUACAACCAGCACAUAACCAGCCUACAACCACAUCCCAACCACAGAAAAAACAGCCUACAACCACAACAUAACCAACCUACAACCACAUCAUAACCAGCCUACAACCACAUCCCAACCACAGAAAAAACAGCCUACAACCACAACAUAACCAACCUACAACCACAUCAUAACCAGCCUACAACCACAUCAUAACCACAGAAAAAACAGCCUACAACCACAACAUAACCAACCUACAACCACAUCAUAACCAGCCUACAACCACAUCCCAACCACAGAAAAAACAGCCUACAACCACAACAUAACCAACCUACAACCACAUCAUAACCAGCCUACAACUACAUCGCAACCACAGCAAAACCAGGCUGCAACCAGACUAUAACAACCCACAAUUACAAACAGAAGAAAUAUUUAUUGCAGGGGGUUAAGCUGUGGUUUUGUCUAUACAAGUGUAGUUAUUUUUCUAUAGUGAGCAUAUUACUAUUUACUUAUGACUUAUUACUUAUUAUACAGAAAAUGUUCGGACUGAAUUCCUUAUAUAUGUUUGUUUUUUAAUACAUUCAAACUGUUGUUAUGCACCACUCUCUGAUACUAAUCAAGUAAUUAAUUUAGGGACCUUCUCUUCUAGAUUAAUGUGGUUUGGUCCUUUGAUCGUGUCUGAUCUUAUCUUAAAAUACAUAAAAAAAUCGUAAAAGAUUACUGUUUGACGAAUAAAUUAUCUUUUGGGAAAAUGCUGGUGACACGAUGGCUGCCAUUCUUUAUUAAUCCAAAAGCACCAGACACGCUCACAAAACUUUACUCUUAUCGAGGAAUCUCCCAGCUCUCAGGAUACGGUCCAUAGUGGGGAUAUUGGGUCACAUCUAGGGUUAUGUGUUAGAACGGUGGCAGCUGUGUGUCCUGUCUCACCAUCUGACCUCCACAGUCAGUAGAACCGCGCAACACAAGGGAGCUGUAGGUCAGGACCUCCACUCCCCCCUUGGAUAACUCAACAAACACACACAGUGUAUGUCCAAAUGGGAUCAUCCUUUCUCUUUUAGUCUCCUCCGCUUUUAACCCUUUUGUAAUCAAACCUGCGACUGCCGGUGAUAAAUUGUAGAUCACGGCAAUCCACCAACAAACCCUUUCUCCGAGAAAAGUUACAGCUCGUUAUCUGCCUUUAAAACACAAGUGACUCACUUCCAGUCUGGCUAGCUCUGUGUUUGUGUUCCUAAAGGCGAUGGCGGCUGCAGCAGUACACCACAUCGUCUUCAUUAUUGUCAUCAUCAGGCAUUGCGGGGUGGGGGGGGGGGGACAGUGCGCCGGGGGGGGGGGGGGGGGGGGGGAGGGGGGGCACAGACCGGG
ensembl:lncRNA